rnacentral:sRNA from 1 species
GAGCGAGCCGCGAACCGAGCGGGCGGCGGGCGCGCGCACCAUGGGGGAGAAACCCGGGACCAGGGUCUUCAAGAAGUCGAGCCCUAACUGCAAGCUCACCGUGUACUUGGGCAAGCGGGACUUCGUAGAUCACCUGGACAAAGUGGACCCUGUAGAUGGCGUGGUGCUUGUGGACCCUGACUACCUGAAGGACCGCAAAGUGUUUGUGACCCUCACCUGCGCCUUCCGCUAUGGCCGUGAAGACCUGGAUGUGCUGGGCUUGUCCUUCCGCAAAGACCUGUUCAUCGCCACCUACCAGGCCUUCCCCCCGGUGCCCAACCCGCCCCGGCCCCCCACCCGCCUGCAGGACCGGCUGCUGAGGAAGCUGGGCCAGCAUGCCCACCCCUUCUUCUUCACCGUGAGGAUGCCCCUGCCCUCUGAGGGCCAGGGGGCUGGGGCUGGGACUGUGUCUGGGGUGGGGGUAAGGCACUGCUGUGGGCAGAUCUGGAAGAAACAGUGAGGCAGGGACCCUAGUUCCACUUCCCUUCAGGGUCCCAGUGCAUUCAGGAAGCCCUUGAUUAUCUGCCUCCUCUCUGGGGCCCCUUCCUUCUUCCCUUCUCAUCCCCAGGAGUCCUUUCUCCAGCCUCUUUUUUGUUGUUGUUGUUGAGACAAAGUCUCGCUCUGUCGCCCAGGCUGGAGUGCAGUGGCACAAUCUUGGUUCACUGCAACCUCCGCCUCCCAGGUUCAAGUGAUUCUCAUGCCUCAGCCUCCCGAGUAGCUGGGAUUACAGGCACGCACCACCACACACGACUAAUUUUGUAUUUUUAGUAGUGAUGGGGUUUUGCCACGUUGGUCAGGCUGGUCUGGAACCCCUG